rnacentral:misc_RNA from 1 species
GAAAUGCGAUAAGUAAUGUGAAUUGCAGAAUUCAGUGAAUCAUCGAAUCUUUGAACGCACAUUGCGCCCGCCAGUAUUCUGGCGGGCAUGCCUGUCCGAGCAUCAUUUCAACCAUCAAGCCCCCGGGCUUGUGUUGGGGACCUGCGGCUGCCCGCAGGCCCUGAAAACCAGUGGCGGGCUCGCUGUCACACCGAGCGUAGUAGCAAUCACCUCGCUCAGGGCGUGCUGCGGGUUCCGGCCGUUAAACAGCCUUACAAAACCCAAGGUUGACCUCGGAUCAGGUAGGAAGACCCGCUGAACUUAAGC